rnacentral:rRNA from 1 species
UACGUAGGUGGCAAGCGUUGUCCGGAAUUAUUGGGCGUAAAGCGCGCGCAGGCGGCCUUUUAAGUCUGAUGUGAAAUCUUGCGGCUCAACCGCAAGCGGCCAUUGGAAACUGGGAGGCUUGAGUACAGAAGAGGAGAGUGGAAUUCCACGUGUAGCGGUGAAAUGCGUAGAUAUGUGGAGGAACACCAGUGGCGAAGGCGACUCUCUGGUCUGUAACUGACGCUGAGGCGCGAAAGCGUGGGGAGCAAACAGGAUUAGAUACCCUGGUAGUCCACGCCGUAAACGAUGAGUGCUAGGUGUUAGGGGUUUCGAUGCCCGUAGUGCCGAAGUUAACACAUUAAGCACUCCGCCUGGGGAGUACGGCCGCAAGGCUGAA